rnacentral:rRNA from 1 species
UUUUUUAUCUCUGUGUUGUAGCUAACGCGUUAAGCACUCCGCCUGGGGACUACGGUCGCAAGACUAAAACUCAAAGGAAUUGACGGGGACCCGCACAAGCGGUGGAGCAUGUGGUUUAAUUCGAUGCAACGCGAAAAACCUUACCACUCCUUGACAUGGAGAUUAGAUCCU